rnacentral:rRNA from 1 species
AUUGAACGCUGGCGGCAGGCCUAACACAUGCAAGUCGAACGAGUGGCGGACGGGUGAGUAAUGUCUGGGAAACUGCCUGAUGGAAGGGGAUAACUACUGGAAACGGUAGCUAAUACCGCAUACCAUCGGAUUUGCCCAGAUGGGAUUAGCUAGUAGGUGGGGUAAAGGCUCACCUAGGCGACGAUCCCUAGCUGGUCUGAGAGGAUGACCAGCCACACUGGAACUGAUACACGGUCCAGACUCGUACGGGAGGCAGCAGUGGGUAAUAUUGGACAAUGGGCGCAAGACUGAUGCAGAAAUGCCGCGUGUAUGAAGAAGGCCUUCGGGUUGUAAAUGACUGUCAGCGGGGAGGCGUUACCCGCAGAAGAAGCACCGGCUAACUCCGUGCCAGCAGCCGCGGUAAUUC